GAUGAAGAACGCAGCGAAAUGCGAUAAGUAAUGUGAAUUGCAGAAUUCAGUGAAUCAUCGAAUCUUUGAACGCACCUUGCACCCUUUGGCAUUCCGAAGGGUAUGCUCGUUUGAGUGUCAUUGUACUCUCACUCUCCCGAUGCUUUUGGAUCGGGAGUGGUGGACUUGGGUGUUGCUGCCUUGCUGUGGCUCGCCUCAAAUGGAGUAGUGCAACUCUUGGUUGGACAUAGUACGGCGUGAUAAGUGUCUUCGCCGGCGCCUCAUUAUAGAGGGUGGCCGAUCGGGAGCUCUGUGCUUCAAACCGUCUUCGGACAACAUCUGACAACUUGACCUCAAAUCGAGUAGGACUACCCGCUGAACUUAAGCAUAUCAAUAAGCGGGGA
rnacentral:misc_RNA from 1 species